rnacentral:rRNA from 1 species
UGGGGAAUAUUGCACAAUGGGCGGAAGCCUGAUGCAGCGACGCCGCGUGAGGGAUGACGGCCUUCGGGUUGUAAACCUCUUUCGCCAGGGACGAAGCGAGAGUGACGGUACCUGGAUAAGAAGCACCGGCUAACUACGUGCCAGCAGCCGCGGUAAUACGUAGGGUGCGAGCGUUGUCCGGAAUUAUUGGGCGUAAAGAGCUCGUAGGCGGUUUGUCGCGUCGGCCGUGAAAACUGGAGGCUUAACCUUCAGCUUGCGGUCGAUACGGGCAGACUUGAGUUCGGUAGGGGAGACUGGAAUUCCUGGUGUAGCGGUGGAAUGCGCAGAUAUCAGGAGGAACACCGGUGGCGAAGGCGGGUCUCUGGGCCGAUACUGACGCUGAGGAGCGAAAGCGUGGGGAGCGAACAGGAUUAGAUACCCCCGUAGUCC